rnacentral:rRNA from 1 species
UACGUAGGGUGCGAGCGUUAAUCGGAAUUACUGGGCGUGAAGCGUGCGCAGGCGGUUUUGUAAGCCAGAUGUGAAAUCCCCGGGCUUAACCUGGGAAUGGCAUUUGGGACUGCAAGGCUUGAGUUUGGCAGAGGAGACUGGAAUUCCUGGUGUAGCAGUGAAAUGCGUAGAUAUCAGGAGGAAUACCGAUGGCGAAGGCAGGUCUCUGGGCUAGAACUGACGCUCAUGCACGAAAGCGUGGGGAGCAAACAGG